UCACUUAGGGCCUGAUCCAAAGCCCAUUGGAAUCAUUGGGAGUUUUUCCAUUGACUUUAAUGGGCUUUGGUUCAGGACUAUAAAGC
rnacentral:pre_miRNA from 1 species